rnacentral:rRNA from 1 species
UACAGAGGUCUCAAGCGUUGUUCGGAUUCAUUGGGCGUAAAGGGUGCGUAGGCGGCGGGGCAAGUCGGAUGUGAAAUCUCAGGGCUCAACCCUGAAACUGCAUUCGAUACUGCCUUGCUCGAGGACUGGAGAGGAGAUUGGAAUUCACGGUGUAGCAGUGAAAUGCGUAGAUAUCGUGAGGAAGACCAGUGGCGAAGGCGGAUCUCUGGACAGUUCCUGACGCUGGAGGCACGAAGGCCAGGGGAGCAAACGGG